rnacentral:rRNA from 1 species
GUGGGGAAUCUUCCGCAAUGGACGAAAGUCUGACGGAGCAACGCCGCGUGAGUGAAGAAGGUUUUCGGAUCGUAAAGCUCUUUCGUUAGGGACGAACGUGCUCUUUGUGAAUAAUGAGGAGUAAUGACGGUACCUAAAUAAGAAGCCACGGCUAACUACGUGCCAGCAGCCGCGGUAAUACGUAGGUGGCAAGCGUUGUCCGGAAUUAUUGGGCGUAAAGCGCGCGCAGGCGGGAUAUCAAGUCUGUCUUAAAAGUGCGAGGCUCAACCUCGUGAGGGGACAGAAACUGGUAUUCUUGAGUGUCGGAGAGGAAAGUGGAAUUCCAAGUGUAGCGGUGAAAUGCGUAGAGAUUUGGAAGAACACCAGUGGCGAAGGCGACUUUCUGGACGAUGUCUGACGCUGAGGCGCGAAAGCCAGGGGAGCGAACGGGAUUAGAAACCCUUGUAGUCC